ACUCCACCUGCCCACGACUCCCAAGCCUACCCCAAGCCGUCAGGUUAAGGGGGGGAGCUGCGCAGGUUUGCCAGCGGCAUUCCUCCCUUCCCCCUUCGUUUUGACAGCUUGGGGGAGGCUUGGGAGUUGUGGGUGGGUGGUGU